CAACUACUCCCUCCGUCUUAAAAUUCUUGUCUUGAAUUUGUCAGAUAUGGAUGUAUCUAGUUUAGUUUUAGUAUUUAGAUACAUCAAUUUUAGACAAACUUAAGACAAAAAAUUUGAACCGAAGGGAGUAUUAU
rnacentral:pre_miRNA from 1 species